rnacentral:sRNA from 1 species
AUCGAGGUUCGACCGGGUUGAGUUGAAAUACAUAAAUGUGCCUUCAACAGGGAUGGCCAUGGGACCGAGGAAGAGUUGCUGGCAAUUGCAUUGAAUCGUAGGUGGUGUAUAUUAAUGACAAUUUGACUUAUGACGCUUCAACCUUCACCUUGCUGCACAAGCACUGCCGAACAUCGGCAGCUCCUCCUCCUUGCCAGCAACAGAUGGUAACCGCACAACCAAUCAGAAAUUAUUUAUCUUCAUUACGCUUCAUCAUGCAUCAAAUCAUUUGGGUUGUUUCAAAUCGCAAAGUUUGACGUCUGUCUAUUUAAAGGCCGACGGCCCGUGACCGGCGGUCAGUGAUCACUGGUGAUCCCCUUUUCCUGCUCCUUGCCUACUGCAAACCAUAGAGUAGGUGGUUUCGGGCCGAAAGAUCAAGAAAUGGUUUAACAGAUGAGCGAGAGAUGGGUAAGACAAACAACAAAAGGAACCUCGUCAAGAAGAUACCCCCCCCUUCUUCUUCUGCCUUCGAAUCCGUCCCAUAGAUGAAUCCAAUGAAGGUACUCCACCCUUGCAGACAUGACGAGUCAUCAUUAUUAUUGAAAUCGCUGCAUCAAACUCUGGGCUCUGAGAGUAACGGAAAGGAGGUUAUUAUUAUUCGUGGUACGAAACGAAAAACAGCAGAAAGCAUACCACGGCACAAAGAAAACCGACCAACAUCAAUUGUCAAUUAUCCA